CGAGCUGCUGCAUACUAACCGGUCUCACACCAUUACCAUCACCUUGCCCUUGUGAAGGCAGAUAUGGAUAAGGUUCUCAAAGCUGACAGAAGAUUGAAACCACUCUAAUCCUGUGACGAUCAACCUGCCCCGGAAGAGAGAGCCCAGAGAAUUGCCAAAGCUGUCCGCAAACAGUCAAUAGAAGUGAAGGAAAAUUGGGAACAACUGAAAAUCCGUGCGAGCAACUGGCACAAACAGGUGGAAAAGGCGUUGGAGAAACUUCAAGAACUGCAAAAAGUUCUGGAUGAUCUUGAGGCUCAUGUGAUAACAGCUGAGGGGGUCCACACUGAUUGGCAACCUGUGAGUGACCUGCUUAUUGACUCAUUGCAGGAUCACAUUGAUAAAACCACAGGUAAGGACUAUCUGCAAAAUCUGAGAUUGGGUUUUGAAAGACUGCAGCCUUUGUUUUGGAGAGAUAAUGGGAACUGCAGAUGCUGGAGAAUGCGAGAUAACAACGUGUGGAGCUGGAUGAAGACAGCAGGCCAAGCAGCAUCUUAGGAGCACAAAAGCUGACGUUUCGGGCCGAGAACCUUCUUCAGAAAAUGGGGAGGGGGUGCGGGUUCUGAAAUAAAUAGGGAGAGAGGGGGAGGCGGAUGGAAGAUGGAUGGAGGAGAAGAUAGGUGGAGAGGAGAGUAUGGGUACGGAGGCAGGGAGGGGAUAGGUCAGUCUGGGGAGGCCGUACAGGUCAAGGGAGCGGGAUGAGGGGAAAUAGGGGUGCGGCAUGAGGUGGGAGGGGGGAUGGGUGAGAGGAAGAAUAGGUUAGGGAGGCGGGGACGAGCUGGGCUGGUUUUGGGAUGCAGUGGCAGGACAGGAGAUUUGGAAGCUUGUGAAAUCCACAUUGAUACCAUUGGGCUGCAGGGUUCCCAAGCAGAACAUGAGUUGCUGUUCCUGCAACCUUGGGGUGGCGUCAUUAUGGCACUGCAGGAGGCCCAGGUUGGACAUGUCCUCUCGGGAAUGGGAGGGGGAGUUGAAAUGGUUAGUGACUGGGAAGUGCAGUUGUUUACUGCUAACUGAGCGUAGGUGUUCUGAAAAGCGGUCCCCAAGCCUCUUCAUCGUUUCCCCAAUGCAGAGGAAGCCACAAUGGGGACAGCGGAUGUUUUGGAUAUUUCUUAAGCAUUGAUUUUCAUUCAGAGUUGGUUGGAUUUUGCUGAAGCAAUAGACAUAACUCAGUAUGACGUAGACAAUGUCAGAGUUAAUGUUUCGCGUCCUGUGACCCUUCCUCAGAUCUCACUCUUCACUGAUGCUGCCAGACCUGCUGAGCUUUUCGAGCAACUUCUGCUUUUGUUGCUGAUUCACAGUGCCCACAGUUCUUUUGUUUUUUACGACACAGACAAAACUUGAUCUCUGCAGGAAGCAUGAUGCUGCAUUCUCCAAUUUCCCUGCCUUUUUGUAAUAUAAUAUUGUCUUGUUAGGACAGAAGUGGCUUUUUUUUGUUUGUUUUAACUUGCGCACAUACUUUCUAUGCAGGUUAAAAGUCUACACUUUUUCAGUUCUCUGCUGCCGAAUGAAGACUUGGAACAUUUUUUUUUACAAAGUAGAAAAUCAGUGUGGUUUGUUUUCCAAAAUGUGAUGUGUAAGUGCAACACUUAACAGUGUGUUCAUCAAACUAUUGUUUCCUUUGAUCUUUGUGUUGCAGAAAUUUCUAGAAUCAUUUCAUAUAUAUUUGUCUUGAUAUAUUUUAGCAGCUUUCCUGGAACAAGUCUGUUUUCCUUCGGAUGAGACGACUUUCAGACAUACUCCCUUUAUUAUGAGAUUUAAUUGUGUUAAAAUGAGGAGGAUUUUUAUUCACUGAGACACACAUGACUAUAUGUUUAAAGCAUUGGAAAAUGCGUUCUGUUCGGACUGUCAUGUUAUCUGGUGUUUGGACCAGGCUUUCCGAUUAAAUGCAAGUGAUUAAGGAUGCUAAUGAUGCCACAUGUUAUUACAAGAGGAAAUGAACAUACAAGUCAGGAUUUUAUGCCACGUUUAUACAUUGCAUGGACCAUGCAGCAUGGAUGCAGUGACUGCGUGAAAUGGCAUGCAGUGGCUGUGGGAAAUGGGAUGCAGUGACGGAGUGAAAUGGGAUGCAGUGACGGAGUGAAAUGGGAUGCAGUGACGGAGUGAAAUGGGAUGCAGUGACGGAGGGAAUAGGGAUGCAGUGAAUGAGGGAAUUGGGAUGCAGUGACUGAGACAAAUGGGAUGCACUGACAGAGGGAAAUGGGAUACAGUGCCUCAGUGAAAUGCUCACAGCGAAUUGCCCCCUCCAUCCUAACCCGCUCACAGCGACUUGCCCCUCCAGUCCAGACCCGCUCUCAGCGACUUGCCCCCUCUGUCCUGACCCGCUCACAGCAAAUUGUCCCCUCCGUUCUGACCCACUCGCAGCGACCUGCCCCUGCAGUCCUGACCCGCUCACAGUGACGAGCCCCUGCAGUCCUGACCCGCUCACAGCGACUCGACCCUUCAGUCCUGUCACAAUCACAGGGACUCGCCCCUUCAGUCCUGUCACAAUCACAGGGACUUGCCCUCUCCGUCCUUACCCGCUCACAGCAACUUGCCCCCUCAGUCCUCACCCACUCACAGCGACUUGCCGCCUCAGUCUUGACCCGCUCACAGCGACCUACCCCUCCGUGCUGAACCGCUCACAGUGACUUGCCCCUGCAGUCCUGACCCACCUCACAGUGACCUGCCCCCUCACUCCUGACCCGCUCUGCAUUGAGGAAACCAAGCAGAGACUUGGGGACCGCUUUGCAGAACACCUCCGCUCGGUUCGCAACCAACAACUGCACCUCCCAGUUGCGAACCAUUUUAACUCCCCCUCCCAUUCCUUAGACGAAAUGUCCAUCAUGGGCCUCCUGCAGUGCCACAAUAAUGCCACCUGAAGUUUGCAAGGACAGCAACUCCUCAUCCGCUUGGGAACCCUGCAACCCAAUGGUACCAAUGUGGACUUCACAAGCUUCAAAAUCUCCCCCUCCCCAACUGCAUCCCAAAACCAGCCCAGUUCUUCCCCUCCCCCUACUGCAUCACAAAACCAGCCCAGCCUGUCUCGGCCUCCCUAACCUGUUGUUCCUCUCACCCAUCCCUUCCUUCCACUUCAAGCCACACCUCCAUUUCCUACCUACCACCUCAACCUGCCUCCUUGACCUGUCCGUCUUCCCUGGACUGACCUAUCCCCUCCCUCCCUCCUCACCUGUACCUAUCUUGUUUUCUCUCCAUCUUCGGUCCACAUCCCCCCCCCCCUCCCUAUUUAUUCCAGUUCCCUCUCCCAUCCCCCUCUCUGAUGAAGGGUCUAGGCCUGCAAUGUCAGCUUUUGUGCUCCUGAGAUGCUGCUUGGCCUGCUGUGUUCAUCCAGCUCCACAGUUUGUUAUCUUGGAUUCUCCAGCAUCUGCAGUUCCCAUUAUCAGUGGCCUUUUCCUCUUUGUCAAAGUUUGUGCAAAAGCAACACGAUAUGGGGCAGCACGGUGGCUCAGUGGUUAGCACUGCAGCUUCACAGCACUGGGGACCCAGGUUCAAUUCCAGCCUCAGGCAACUGUCUGUGUGGAAUUUGCACCUUGUCCCUGUGUCUGCGUGGGUUUCCUCCAGGUGCUCCGGUCUCCUCCCACAGUCCAAAGAUGUGCAUGCUAGGUGGAUUGGCCAUGCUAAAUUGCCCAUAGUGUUCAGGGGCGUGGGUCUGGGUGGGAUGCUCCAACUUUUGGUGUGCACUUGUUGGGCCAAAGGGCCUGUUUCCACACUGUAGGGAAUCUAAACAAUCCUGUUCCCACAUCUCCAUGUUAUAACCCUGCUGAUCACUGCACACAGAGAUGUUUGAUAACAAAAGGAUAACAAUAAUAUUCAAAUCCAGUGCUGGAGAAGUAUUUUAAAUACACUGAGGCCAGUGUCGAUCUCCAAUUCAACUUUUAUUUACAAAUGAACUGUCUUCAACUUUAGCACUGCCUCAUUCAGAGAUAGUUGCCAGGGUGUCAGCAUCUCUGACCCUCACACUUCUUAUCUGUCAGCCAGGGCUCCCUGAUUUGGGCUGUUAAUAUGGAACAAUCAGGCAACUCAUAUUCUGUGAGGUUCAACUGGCCGACCUGGUCACAAAUCAGUGCGGUGUGUUCAUCGAAAAUCAAACGUACUAGAAAGAUACCAUUCCAUACCAGUGUAAAGGAAAGCAUGAGGCUAAACUGGGGAGGGAAGGGAACUGCUUCUUGGGGGUUGCCCAGAGAGUGGAAGAAAAUCGAAUGGGAAGAAGACCAUUUGAGACUGAGGGAGAGAGAUGUAAUUGCCUGAAUGAGGCAUUCCAAUUGCGAAAUGGAUUUUUGUGUGUACACCAUGUUCAGUUUCCCUGAUCGUAAUCUGUACUCCUCUUUAAAUCAUUAGUAUCUGAAAUUUCUGUAUCAUUUCCAAAUGUUCUGUCUCUAAUGUUAUGCUGUUGGAAUUGGUUGAACUGCAGAGAUAUUAUUUAUUUGCACAAAUGUGUUCAGUGAAAUGAGUUGCAUGCUAUAUAUGUAUUAUUCUUCCUGAUUCUAUUGUACGCAUACAAAUUAAAGUUAG